GGGGAUGUAGCUCAGUUGGUAGAAUACUUGCUUCACAGGCACAAGGAUCUGGGUUCAAUCCCCAGCACUGCCC
rnacentral:tRNA from 1 species